rnacentral:rRNA from 1 species
UCGGGAAUUUUGGGCAAUGGGCGCAAGCCUGACCCAGCAACGCCGCGUGAAGGAUGAAAUCCUUCGGGAUGUAAACUUCGCAAGAACGGGAAGAAUAAGUAAGGGUUAAUAUCCCUUACGAUGACGGUACUGUUUGUAAGCUCCGGCUAACUCCGUGCCAGCAGCCGCGGUAAUACGUAGGGGGCAAGCGUUGUCCGGAUUUAUUGGGCGUAAAGAGCGUGUAGGCGGUUAGGUAGGUCCGUUGUGAAAACUCGAGGCUCAACCUCGAGACGCCGAUGGAAACCAUCUGACUAGAGUCCAGAAGAGGAGAGUGGAAUUCCUGGUGUAGCGGUGAAAUGCGCAGAUAUCAGGAAGAACACCCGUGGCUAAGGCGGCUCUCUAGUACGUGACUGACGCUGAGACGCGAAAGCGUGGGGAGCGAAC